rnacentral:rRNA from 1 species
GACGAACGCUGGCGGCGUGCUUAACACAUGCAAGUCGAACGAAGUGGCGAACGGGUGAGUAACGCGUAAUCAACCUGCCCUUCAGGGGGGGACAACAGUGGGAAACGAAUGCUAAUACCGCAUACGGAAGAAGGGGAUUGCGUCGGAUUGGCUCGUUGGAGGGGUAACGGCCCACCAAGGCGAUGAUCAGUAGCCGGGCUGGGAGGAUGAACGGCCCACUUUGGACUGAGACACGGCCCAGACUCCUACGGGAGGCAGCAGUGGGGAAUCUUCCGAAAUGGACGAAAGUCUGACGGAGCAACGCCGCGUGAGUGAUGACGGCCUUCGGGUUGUAAAGCUCUGUUAAUCGGGACGCGGUACCGGAAUAGAAAGCCACGGCUAACUACGUGCCAGCAGCCGCGGUAAUAC